UUACGGCAAUAUCACGUUGAAAUACCAGUUAUCAACCGAUCACCGAAGUUAAGCAACUUCGAGUUUGGUCACUACCUAGAUGGGUGAUUGCUUGAGAAUACCAAGUGCUGUAA